rnacentral:tRNA from 1 species
GCCGAAGUGGCGGAAUAGGCAGACGCGCACGACUCAAAAUCGUGUGGGGAAACCCGUGUGGGUUCGACUCCCACCUUCGGCA